rnacentral:misc_RNA from 1 species
GAAAUGCGAUAAGUAAUGUGAAUUGCAGAAUUCAGUGAAUCAUCGAAUCUUUGAACGCACAUUGCGCCCUUUGGCAUUCCGAAGGGCAUGCCUGUUCGAGCGUCAUUACACCAAUCAAGCCUGGCUUGGUAUUGGGCGACGGGGUCGGUCGAACCACCCCCCGCCCCAAAGACCUUUCCGGCGGAACGGACCGAAUCUCAGCGUUGUGCAAACGUGUCGCUGGCGAGACGGGACGGCCGUGCCGUUAAACCCCAUUUUCUUCAAGGUUGACCUCGGAUCAGGUAGGGAUACCCGCUGAACUUAAGC